GAGUUUGAUUAUGGCUCAGAUUGAACGCUGGCGGCAUGCUUUACACAUGCAAGUCGAACGGCAGCACGGAAGAGCUUGCUCUUUUGGUGGCGAGUGGCGAACGGGUGAGUAACGCAUCGGAACGUACCGAGUAGUGGGGGAUAACUGUCCGAAAGGAUGGCUAAUACCGCAUAUUCUCUGAGGAGGAAAGCAGGGGACCUUCGGGCCUUGCGCUAUUUGAGCGGCCGAUGUCUGAUUAGCUAGUUGGUGGGGUAAAGGCCUACCAAGGCGACGAUCAGUAGCGGGUCUGAGAGGAUGAUCCGCCACACUGGGACUGAGACACGGCCCAGACUCCUACGGGAGGCAGCAGUGGGGAAUUUUGGACAAUGGGGGGAACCCUGAUCCAGCCAUGCCGCGUGUCUGAAGAAGGCCUUCGGGUUGUAAAGGACUUUUGUCAGGGAAGAAAAGCUUGAGGUUAAUACC
rnacentral:rRNA from 1 species